CUUACAUUUCAAUAUUAAGGAUGAACACGAAUGCGGCCACCUUCGUUUUACACGAAAACCGUCUAAAAUUUAACUAAAAUGCUAGAAUUAUGAGGAUUUUAGUAAUUUAGCCUGACUUAAUGGUGCUAGUACCGGAUAUAUGUGCAUUGUAUUGUCAAAAACAGCCCAUAUUUAUGUAGCAGAAGCAUUCUACUGUCCAAUAAAUAACUAAAGGUUUACAUUUUAACAAUUUUGUAAAACUGCUAUAUUUUUGG
rnacentral:lncRNA from 1 species